rnacentral:lncRNA from 1 species
UCUCUUUGCAAGGGAUGCUGCUAGAUUUAUUAGCAGUGACGAGAUAUAAUGGGAAUCAAGUUUAACAGAGGACACGAGGUUAAGAGAGUCCAGUUAGGAGGUCCUUGUGGUCUCGAUAAGAUGGGAAAGUGGCCUGGGUCAGUGGUGACAGUGGAGAGGUGAGAGGUGAUCAGGUUUAAGAUGCAAGGUGGAGCCUGAGUUGUGGAGAGAUACCAAGAGGACUGAUGGACAAGAUGAAGAGAGAGAGGUAGAACAGUCGAAGAUGUCAAUGUGAGCCACUGUGGGAAUGCCAGUGUCAUUUCCUGAAAUGUGGAGGGCCACGAAGGAGCAGACCGCCAAGUUCUAUAUCUUGGCCAUAUUGAGUGGGUCUUGCCAUUUAUUUAUUUAUUUUGUGGCUCAGGACCCUGAAUCCAGGGCACUUUACCACUUAGUUGCAUUCCCAGCCCCAACCCCCCGUUUUUAAUUUUUAAAAUCUGAGACAGGAACAACAGCUAGGAGUUAACAAUAUUCCAGGCCAGAGGCAGAAUGUCUUCUUGGCGGCCUCAAGUUCAUGGCUUCCUAUAUGAGCAACAUGGGGAAUGGGGAUGAAAAGCCAAUGUUCAGUCCCUGAACAGCCGGGACUGGGGAAUAGAGCUCAGUUGGUAGAGUGCUUGCCUCACAUGCACAAGGUGUUGGGUUAGAAUCCCCAGCACCAUAUACACACACAAAAAUUACUCCACCCCUGAAUAGCCAAUCUGAAUUCAAACCUAUCACUCCCUUUGACUCCUUUCCCAAAACGGAAGAAGAGAAGUGGGAAUCAGCCUGGCGCAGUGGUGCACGCCUCUAAUCCCAGCUACUCCACAAGCUGAGACAGAAGGAUCUCAAAUUCAAGGCCACCUGGACAACUUAGUGAGAACUUAUCUCAAAAUAAAAAGGUUUG